CGGUGACCCCUUCCCCAUCGUUGGAAAAACACAAACCCUAAACUGAAGGGAGCACCUACAGCCGCCACCCCCUUCCUCUUCUCCUCCCAGCCGACAUCACCAAAGAACCACCGGAGCAGCCACCUAGUUCCACCGCCGGCAAGACGAAGAGACUCAAGGGAUUAGGAACUCGUUCGGGGGUAGGUUGCUAUUUGCGUUUGGGUGGCUGCCUCAGCCCACGUCCGUCGCUAUGGCGCUGAGGAGCAGCAGAGUUUCCGUUUAGUACCGCCACCUCCAUCGUUUCCCCGUAGCGUCGACUAUUGCGUUUCCAUCAAUAGAAUCCGAGCAAAGGACCCUUUUCUGUCGUCGUUCGAUGCUACCGCUGUUGCGACGCUACCGUCGAUGGUGGACUCUCAUCGUCACUUGCCGCUGCUAGUCGCUGAUGCUGUCGUUCUAGUGGCCGUCAUGUUCCAGCCACGACUUGUCGCCGUCGCCUAUGCAGCCCUCAUGUCACUCCAGUUGUUGCUUAGCGUCCCAAGGGACGGCCAUGCUUGUAUUUCACAAGGUUGCGAGUGCGUUGUUGCUUCAAGUUCAAGUGAAGUGUGGUCGUUUGGUCUAGCCGGAAAUCAAGAGCGAGCACCGCCAACACCUGCCGCCGCCGGCCACCAUAAGGUGGUUGUGUGUGUUUGUUUUGUUUUAGGUGUGUGUGUGUGUGUGUGAUUGUAUUUCUAUUAGCUAUUCGUGUUUGGGUAUUUUGGUUAGCCGGAGUUCAUGGAAGAGUCACUGCCGCCACGAGCCACCGCCGGCCACCAUGGUGUGGCUGUGUGUGUGUAUGUUAGUUAGGUAGUGGUGUGUGUUCAUUUUGAUUAAAGCAUUGUAACUGUAAUUGCCAAAAGAAUAAUGAAAAGAAAUGGAAAACCACCACCGUAAGGUGGUGGCCACCGUCGUGAGCCGCCAUUGACCACCACUACCUGAGGUGGUCAUGGGUGGUGCCCCUCAAGCAAACCCUAAUGGGCCUAGAAAGACCCUAAUGGGCUUAAAGAUUUAUUUUGGGCCUAUUGGGCCAUGUUUGAGUGGAAACCCUAAUUAGGGUUUAGAAAACCCUAAUUAUGAGAAAUUGGGCCUUAGACUUAAUGGACCCAUCAUUGGGCAAUUGGGAUUGGAGUGUGUAUUAAGCCCAAGUCACUCCAUAUCACAUAUCUAGUAGAGUAGAGGACUUAAUGGAUUAAGUCCUUAAUGGGUUAAGUAAGAAACACUUAACCCUAGUUAUCAUUUUAUGUGAAACCCUAAUUUCACUUGGGCUUUGUGUUGGUCCAUCCAAAAACAAGCAAAUGGACUAGAAUAAUUUAUUGGGCCUUAGGGUAAGGUCCAUAUGAAGGAUUGGGCCCAAUUUGGAAAAUUGGGCCAUAGAUGGGCUGUAGUUUGGGCUUAGAUGGUUGUGUGAUAUUGGGCUCUUAAAAUGAGACAUGUUGGACUGGACUGAUCAAUUGGGCCUUGAGGGAAGUCCAUGUAGAGGCUUGGGCCUAAUUUGGAAAAUUGGGCCAUAUGUUGGGCUUUGAUCCCUAGCUGACUUUGGGCCUAUGGAUUUGGGCCUUGGGCUUGGGUAAGCCAAGCUAGGGGUAAUAAAGUAAUUAUCCAAGUAUGUAUUUAUAGUAUGUGUUAGAAAUCAAUUAUUAAUUGGGUGUCAUUUUGGUGUUGACAAUUCGGGAAUCUGUCAUCCAACAGCUAGGGUUGAGUCUGCGGGACUUUAGCAGUAUGAGAUUAUGUCUACGGGACUUCAGCAGUGUGAGGUGAAUUUCCUUCUAGUAGGAACGGGUCUACGGCCACAAUGUCGGCCCGUUUAGUUAGCAGUCAGUUCCAGACUUCGGUCCGAUGCAGUAGUUUAGGGUGCUUGACGUCUUUGUGAUUCAAGCAUGUCUAUGUGUUAUGAGUUCCGGACUUCAGUCUGAUGCAGUAUGCAGUAUAUGUGUUUAUGCUAGUUGAUAUGAGUUUAUGCUAUGCUAUGUUCAUUUAGUUCCGGACUUCGGUCCGAUGCAGGGGACAAGAUGACAGUCAGUUCCGGACUUCGGUCCGAUGCAGUUAGUUCCGGACUACGGUCCGAUGUAGGGGACAAGGUCCCAUUCAGUUCCAGACUCCGGUCCGAUGCAGUUUCCGUACUUUGUUCCGAUGCAGAGGGCAAGGCCCUGGUUAGUUUCCGGACUUCAGUUCAAUGCGGUUCCGGACUUCGGUCCGAUGAAGUGGGCAAGGCCCAAUAUGUGUUUAUAUGUUAUUGUAUGGUAUGUGGUAGUUUGGGGAAGGUCACUAAGCUUCGUGCUUAUGGUUUUUAGUUUUGGUUUCAGGUACUCAGUUUUCAAAAGAGGAGCUCGAGAAGAUUGCAGUGCACACACCAUUUGUUCAGCCUGGGAUGUUUAUACUCUGAUAUAUUUGACAGUUGUUAAGAUAUUUUGAGAUACAUAGCUUAUGAUUUUUACAUGAGGUUUAUCGACUAUGGUUUUUAUUGUUAAAUUAAACAAAAUUUUCAGAUUGUAUUUUCUAGAUGUUUCUAGUUGUUAUCAGAGCCUUGGUUUGAGGGAUUCAGGCACACUUUCGGGUGUGUCUGAACUCAAACUAAGGAAGUGGUAUAAAGUUUUCAAGAGAAAAACCAUGUUUAGAAAAGGAUUUUGAGAAAAGAAAACAAUUUUAGAAAAAGUAUAAAGAAAAGAGUUUUAGAAAAAGCGAAAAGAAUUUUGAAAAGAGAAAAGCGUGUGGUGCAUUCAAUCAGCCGAGCUCAAGUAAGUACUCCCAAAGUACCCAUACAAGUUUAUGUUAUGAUUAUCAGUUUCAGUUUCAGUAGAACAACAUGUUAGGAUAGGACUAAGGAUCUAGGAGGAUGCCUUAUGUGCCUGCUAUAUUUGUUUCAUCUUUAUGAGAAUUGCAUGCUAGUAUUGAGUAGACAUUAGUAGGAUAGCCUAUUUAGGUUAUGCCUGAUAGUAUGAGCUUAGCAUUGUAUGCUAGUAUAGUUUCUUGUUAUGAGAAUAGAUUUGCUUGAGUAGUUUCGUGUGUCUGAAUGUUUCUUGCUUUGUGCUUUGUAGGAUUCUAAGUGAUGAGAGUUAGCCAUUAGGUGAAUACGUCACGCCACAUGUGAUCAGGGUUAAAUAAUCUCAGAGUGUUGGAUUUGGCCCUAUUGCGCAGCUCUUGUUUGAGUCUAACCAUUGUGGGGACGAGUCUUUUACUCGAAGGAUUAUCCGAGCCUCGUCACAUGUGAUGGUAUUCAGGUGAUGGCUAAUUGGCAUUACAAGGAGGCCUUCAGCAGCUGAGGACUGGUUUGGGUCGGAGAUUUCCCUAGGGUAAGCCUAGGAUGAGAGUAACAGAGAGCAGUAGCAGUAAAAGGGACGUGGUGGAGUCUAGGCAGUUCUUGAGGAAAGUACGGAUAGAUGUGGAAGGUAGUAUGGGCCCGUACUACUAAAAGCAUAGGAUCCGUACUCAAAUCAACGAAGGCUAAGAUAAGACCAGGGAAAUUGUAGUGUGUGAGAUCCCUCGAGUUUGGAUGAGUAUUGUGAUGUUAGUGAUGGCAUGUUGCCGAGUAUAGUGGUGCUACGUGGUAGACCAGAUGAUAGUUCUGGUGUUGAAGAGGGAUCGGGAUCGGACUCUAGAGUCGGGCAGAUUAAUGAUCAGAUGAGGGAGUUCAUUCUAUCUAAGAGUUAUGCGAAGUAUCAUUGACCAGACUCAUGUGAUCCUCAGUGUGAUCAAGGAGGGAAUUAUAGAGAUUUGUGAUGAGAGGCCGAGUGCAUUCUGCACUAAGAUAACAGUCAUGAUAGUGAACCGUAUGUUGAUGUUUCGGGAAUUCAGAGUUUGUGACGCUUCAGAUUGACAUGGGGGUUAGGGAUCCCAUUGUUAGCAGCAGAUGGUUGGCAGAUGUUGCCAACACUUUUCAUACCAGACGUUGUCUCGAAAGGAGACAAGAUCUGACUUAAUUCCUAUCUCCUGAGGGAUAGAGCACGAGAUUGAUAGGAAGAGGCCGGUAGUGAAUUGUGUGAUGAUGCGGUUAAUGCUAUGUCAUGUGAUGGCUUUUAGACCAGAUUCUGGGCAGAGCGUGCCCAGGCGAUUGAGGCGCAUCAGUUGGCGCAAGAGUUGUUAGAUCUCCACUAGACGACUGAGACUAUGGCAGAGGUCACUGACAAGUCUCGGGAAAGAGCUUAUAUGGUACCACAGUAUGUAGCAGAUGAGGAAAUGAAGAAGGUAGGUUAUCAAAACAUACUGUAGAAUGAUACUAGGGAGAUCAUUAGUAUCUCGGGGUGUAAGACCCUGAAUGAUAUGACAUCUUGAGUUUGAGAACGAGAUAUGGACAUGGAACACAUUGGUAAGAGGGAACCAGAUCGGUUUCUUAUAGUGAGGGGUCUUGGGAGGAGACCGUAGAUUUCAGAUUAGCUUUCGAGAGACCAGCAGGACCAAAUUCGGUACAGCACAUGCGGGAAACUACACGAUGGAGUCUUUCGUUUCAAGGGUUUGAGUAAGUGUAGCCCUGAGUUAUCCUCGGUUUGUGUCUAAAUUAUAUUUUCAAGAGAUGUCAUAUGCCAAUUGCAUACCGAGAAGCAUUAGCGAAUAGUGAUAGAGCAUUUCACAAAUUGCGGAAUUGGGAGAGUAGAGCGUCAUCUUGGUUUAUUCCAAAACUGAGGAGCAUCACGAGAAGCACCUGAGGGAGGUGCUAGAGACUUUGAGGAGGGAGAGAAUUUUCUCAAGGUUCUUUAAUUGUGAGUUCUAGUUGCGCGGGGUGCAAUUUCUUGGACACCUUGUCAAUCAGAAGGAUAUCCUAGUCGAUCUGGCCAAUAUAGAGGCCGUGAUGCAGUAGGAGAUUCCGAGGUCUCCAAUUGAGAUUCGGAGCUUCCUAGGUCUAGCGGGUUAUUACUGGAGAUUUAUUCGGUUUUUUUUUUAGAAGUUGGGUGAUCUUUUGGAUUAGCUGGUGUUGAAACCACUAGAAAGGGUAAGCGUGGUUCUAGCAGAUUAGUCAUGGGUGGUAAGAAGGAUCGGGAAUCCUUUCCAGACAGUGAACUAUAAGGAUCUAGUUGAAUCGAAGUGGGGGAGGAACCCUCAUAUAGUCAGGAACGGAAGAAAGUACGAAGUUGGGAUGAGUUCGCAACUUUGUUGAGCAGGAUAGUAGUCCAAGUGGCUGAUCGGAUUGAGAAACGCGUGACUUGAGAGUUGGGAAACUCCCCAGUAUUGAGUGUAUGUAAUAGUGAUCAUUAAGUGAUUGGUUUGGGAAACCAGGUUGAAGAUUUUCUCGGCAGGAUGUGAUAUUAGUUAGGAUGUAAGCCUACGGGAAAGCUGUAGCAUUCACCAGCAGGUAGACAGUACGGGAAGUGUAGUGAGGCUACGAGAUGUCCAUAGUAAUCACGUUAGACGAUAGCUGGUUCGGAAAAAAAAAACCAGGUUGGAGGAUCGCCGACAGGAUUCGAGUAAGUCAAGAUGCAGAUUUAGUGAAGGUCCGGCAUGGGAUGCUUUCAGAUUAGUAGGCGGUGUAGAGUUAGAAUGGAGAGUGUAGCAAGACUGCAGAAUAGUUGCAGCAUUCCCAACAGCGAGUUAGUGAGGGAAGUGAUGUAAGUCUGCAGGUGUAGCCGUAGCAUUCACUAGCAGUCAGAUAGUAUCAGAGUGUUGUAAGUCUGCGGGUGUAGCCGUAGCGUUCACUAGCAGCCACACAGUGAUAAUGUGUUGUAAGCCUGUGGGUGUAGCCGUAGCAUUCACUAGGUUAUUAGAUAGCGUGAGUGCGUCGUUAGUACACAGGAAGGACAAUAGUACCCACCCGUUCGGGUAUAGAAGUGAGGAUAUGGAAAUCCACAUAUUGGAUUUCGGAGUUUCCCAUACGGAUUAGACCUGGUUAAGCCAGUGAUAAGACUGUAGAAGCGCCACUACAGAGAAGAGAGCAGAGAAGCAGUGGACUGCUUGAGGUCAUUUAUGACAUAAGGCUACCAAUGGUCAUGUAGCAAUCACUUUUAGCCUUGGUUUUGGUGACGUCAGGAUUCGACGUAUGGACUCGAUCAGUUAGAUCAGAAAGUUAUUAGAUCCCCAGUGGCAUGGUAACUAGUGGCAGCUAGUUCUAGAAAAGGAAUUUGUUCAGAAGUCGUGUGAGGCGGCUAUGUAGGGAGUCCUUUGGCUCCGCAAUCGGACUGGAAACCGGUAUUUUAGAUGAAUGACGAACCAAUUGAGACCAGGAAGGCCUAGAUAGAUUUCGGGAAGUAGCCAUGUGGCAACAUACUGCUUCAGGCAGUUCAUCAUUUCAAGCAGUUCAGUGUUUCGGGUAGUUUAGUGUUCAGACAAUUCAAUGUUUCGGGCAGUUCAGUGUUCAGGUUGUUCAGUGUUUUCAGGCAGAUCAAUGUUUCAGACAGUUUUGGGUCUCCAGUAGUAAUGGUAUUUGUGGGAUUUCAUGUAUGGUUAGAGUCACAGAUAUCUUGGGAUAUGCUAAGUCACUUACAGCAGGAUGAUCCGAGUUUUGGCCAGGUAUAAGUGAAUCACAGGGAUAAGUGGAUUUGUGAUUCUGUUUUCUAGGGUGAGCCCCGAGUUGUCAGAAGUUAAGUAAGCAGUUAAGAGAUAAGUGGACUGUAUACAGAGAUAAUGAUUCAGUAUGAGUGGUCUGUCAAGGAUUGAGACCAUCUCGAGACAACAAAUUUUUGAUAGAGUAGAUGUUAUCUUGUUGCGAAGAAUUAGUUCACCCGAGGCUUUUAGGGCUUUGCGAAGAUUGGUCACGACUACCCUGGGAAGGCUAGGGUGUUCCAGGAUGGUGAUCAUGUACUUGAGUAGUUAGCGUGUAAAGGAUGGUAAGGAAUGAUUUCGAGGAAGAAAUCUAAUUUAAGUGGUGGAGAGUUGUAACACCCCGUUUAUUUAAAUAAAUUAACAAAUGUAAGUCUCGGACUAGUUUGUGAAGAAUUUUGAAAGUCGAGGGUUGAAAGUGUAUGUUCAGGACUUCAAUUGAAAAGAUUUGAAGGCUUAAGGGUUUAUUGGUGAUUUAGGGAUCUUUUAUGAAAGAAAUUUAUGGGAUCAGGGUUUAAAAAGUAAGUUUUGGAUUCAGUUUGUAAAGAAUUCUGAGGGCAGGGUCUAUUUGGUAUGUUUUGGAUUUAGUUUGAAGACAAAUUAGGAUGGAGGGGCAGAAGUUGAAUAAAUUGAUCAAAGUUUCAUGAGGACACGGGAUAUACCCGGUGAUCCCUUCCCCAUCGUUGGAAAAACACAAACCCUAAAUGGAAGGGAGCACCUACAGCCGCCACCUCCUUCCUCUUCUCCUCCCAGCUGCCAUCACCAAAGAACCACCGGAGCAGCCACCUAGUUCCACCUCCGGCAAGACAAAGAGACUCAAGGGAUUAGGAACUCGUUCGGGGGUAGGUUGUUAUUUGCGUUUGGGUGGCUGCCUCAGCCCACGUCCGUCGCUAUGGCGCUGAGGAGCAGCGGAGUUGCCGUUUAGUACCGCCACCUCCAUCGUUUCCCCGUGGCGUCGACUGUUGCGUUUCCAUCAAUAGAAGCCGAGCAAAGGACCCUUUUCUGUCACCGUUCGAUGCUACCGCUGUUGCGCCGCUACCGUCGAUGGCGGACUCUCAUCGUCACUUGCUGCUGAUAGUCGCUGAUGCUGCCGUUCUAGUGGCCGUCAUGUUCCAGCCACGACUUGUCGUCGUCGCCU
rnacentral:lncRNA from 1 species